GGGUUCUGCGAGUCCAGCCACGCCUGGUGGCAAGAAUGCUUGGCCUUCAGUGUCAGCCAGGACGGUAAACACAUCUCCCUAAUGUUUCCCAGACCAGUUCGGGCCAUUUUGGGUGCUCGAGUACAACACCUCACACAAAUGACCGCGUCUUGAGGAAAAACCCGAGAGAUUAGUGGAGAAUUAAGAAGAAAGGAAGAAGGAAAGAGGACCACAUUGCAGAGUUUUUUGCAGGGAAGGGGCAGUCGUUGAAAAAAAAAAAGCGCUGCUGCAGUAUGUGAAAACAUUGGAUGGGAAAGGGAUGAAGGGGGAAUUCUAAGAAGUCUCAUGGGAAACUAAAUGUUUCUAUAGUGUUCAAAAUGUACAAAUAAAGUAUGUGGAAUAUUUUUAAA